rnacentral:rRNA from 1 species
GAUGAACGCUGGCGGCGUGCCUAAUACAUGCAAGUCGAGCGAACGGACGAGAAGCUUGCUUCUCUGAUGUUAGCGGCGGACGGGUGAGUAACACGUGGAUAACCUACCUAUAAGACUGGGAUAACUUCGGGAAACCGGAGCUAAUACCGGAUAAUAUUUUGAACCGCAUGGUUCAAAAGUGAAAGACGGUCUUGCUGUCACGUAUAGAUGGAUCCGCGCUGCAUUAGCUAGUUGGUAAGGUAACGGCUUACCAAGGCAACGAUGCAUAGCCGACCUGAGAGGGUGAUCGGCCACACUGGAACUGAGACACGGUCCAUACUCCUACGGGAGGCAGCAGUAGGGAAUCUUCCGCAAUGGGCGAAAGCCUGACGGAGCAACGCCGCGUGAGUGAUGAAGGUCUUCGGAUCGUAAAACUCUGUUAUUAGGGAAGAACAUAUGUGUAAGUAACUGUGCACAUCUUGACGGUACCUAAUCAGAAAGCCACGGCUAACUACGUG